UACGUAGGGUGCAAGCGUUAAUCGGAAUUACUGGGCGUAAAGCGCACGUAGGCGGCUUUGCAAGUCAGGUGUGAAAUCCCCGGGCUUAACCUGGGAACUGCAUUUGAGACUGCAUUGCUAGAGUAUGGGAGAGGGAAGUGGAAUUUCAGGUGUAGCGGUGAAAUGCGUAGAUAUCUGAAGGAACAUCAGUGGCGAAAGCGACUUCCUGGACCAAUACUGACGCUCAUGUGCGAAAGCGUGAGGAGCAAACAGG
rnacentral:rRNA from 1 species